rnacentral:rRNA from 1 species
CCUACGGGUGGCUGCAGUGGGGAAUAUUGGACAAUGGGCGCAAGCCUGAUCCAGCCAUGCCGCGUGAGUGAUGAAGGCCCUAGGGUUGUAAAGCUCUUUCACCGGUGAAGAUAAUGACGGUAACCGGAGAAGAAGCCCCGGCUAACUUCGUGCCAGCAGCCGCGGUAAUACGAAGGGGGCUAGCGUUGUUCGGAAUUACUGGGCGUAAAGCGCACGUAGGCGGAUUGUUAAGUUAGGGGUGAAAUCCCAGGGCUCAACCCUGGAACUGCCUCUAAUACUGGCAAUCUCGAGUUCGAGAGAGGUGAGUGGAAUUCCGAGUGUAGAGGUGAAAUUCGUAGAUAUUCGGAGGAACACCAGUGGCGAAGGCGGCUCACUGGCUCGAUACUGACGCUGAGGUGCGAAAGCGUGGGGAGCAAACAGGAUUAGAUACCCCGGUAGUC